AGAGUUUGAUCCUGGCUCAGGAUGAACGCUAGCUACAGGCUUAACACAUGCAAGUCGAGGGGCAGCAUUGGAGUAGCAAUACUUCAGAUGGCGACCGGCGCACGGGUGAGUAACACGUAUCCAACCUGCCGCUUACUCGGGGAUAGCCUUUCGAAAGAAAGAUUAAUACCCGAUGGUAUAAAGAGUUCGCAUGUUCUCUUUAUUAAAGAAUUUCGGUAAGCGAUGGGGAUGCGUUCCAUUAGAUUGUUGGCGGGGUAACGGCCCACCAAGUCUACGAUGGAUAGGGGUUCUGAGAGGAAGGUCCCCCACAUUGGAACUGAGACACGGUCCAAACUCCUACGGGAGGCAGCAGUGAGGAAUAUUGGUCAAUGGACGAGAGUCUGAACCAGCCAAGUAGCGUGAAGGAUGACUGCCCUAUGGGUUGUAAACUUCUUUUAUAAGGGAAUAAAGUGAGGGACGUGUCCCUUUUUGUAUGUACCUUAUGAAUAAGGAUCGGCUAACUCCGUGCCAGCAGCCGCGGUAA
rnacentral:rRNA from 1 species